rnacentral:lncRNA from 1 species
UAAUUUUAUUGCAUUUCUACUUUUUGGCACCAGCUAGGGGCAGGUUUAUUUGGAAGGAAUAUUGUAACUAGGAACUUUUAAUAGAAUGGCUAUAUGUUAUGAAAUUGUUUUUCUUCUUUGCCUUUGGUGCUAACACUUUUUGUCAUGAACAAAGCAUAAAAUACUUGUAUUAUUUAUUAAGGUGGUACCCAACACUUUCACUAAAAUUAAUUUGGCCCGUUUAAUUUUCAUAAAAUUUUGUCAAAGUAUUUACUUUUACCUAACAAAAAUAUAAAAAUUUCAAAAAGUUUUAACCAACCGUUUUGUCAGAAAAAUUACACUGGUUAUAUAGUAGUUUGACAAACACCUAUUUUGAUCAUUGAGAAGCUUAAUAUUCCUUUUACAACACAACGUAAUUAAAACGUUUAGCUGACUUUACAGAGUUAUCUCCCUGUAGUGUUAGGUACCACCUUAAGGGUAGAAAUGUGUGCUUGGGUUUUAACCAUUAAAACUUGCAGACUUAUAAUGUUGGGAUUUAAUUUGUUGUUCAUUCACUGGGAAAUAUCAGGUCCUCAUUAUUACACUCUUCCGGAAAUAUUCUUUUUUACAAACGAUGUUUUACAAUCAAAAUUCUGCAAGUUUCUGUGAUUUUGAUUUGACUUGCAAUUAUUGGUUCAUUAGAUUUUUAAGAAAUUUUCUAUUUUCCUAAGUUCUGAUUCUAUUUCUAGAAUUUAUCAUUUGUCACACACUUAAACGUUCAUUUCUCCCCAUUCAUCUGUAUAUUUCCUGCUUAAGAUCAUUCAACAUAAUUUCCCUGUCUUCAAUUCUCUAUGAUAUUGCUGUAUUAUACAUUAUUGAAAAAAAAAGACAUCAUAUAUUAUAUUUUCUAUGAAAGAUAAUCAAACAUAAUUUUCCCGCCAAUUUUUUUCUUCAACCACAAUCAUACAGACUGGUCUACAAUUUUCUAU